AGACUAAUCAACCUUCUACAUUAAAUUUUACCAUAUAGCUCUUAUCUGACCGAUUGAUGAACGUUCAGGCAAAAAUGUAUUAGUCUGAAACAAGAGCAAAUACAAUAUGUAAUCUCUCUCACGUUGUAAUACGAAGCAAUUAUUACAUAUCCAGAAUUGCGAUUCAUGAUUGUGUCCUAAGCAGGAACCAUCAUUCCAGUACUUAAAAAAAUCACCACAAUUAAUGCUUGUUUUCCUGAUAUAUUCUUGUCAGUAUUUUCACUUCACUUGAAAUGGAGAAGCUUAUACAUCAUUUUUUUUUUCAGUUUAAAAGUUGGAAAACAGGUUCAAUACUUACAACUUUGUACGACCAGCACAUCCUUUGAAGGAACUGUAAAGAGGUUGUGAUCUUCUGAAACUAAAAAUAUCAUCUAUCUGAACCUUGUUCGGCUUAGCUUCCUCACUUCUAUCUGACAUGUACUCAAGUGAAUGUAGGCUCCCAUAAACGCGUAUGCUCAAUGUCCUCUUCUGAGGUGCGCCAAUUCUUAUAUAUUCGUUGAAAAAAUCAAUAAAUUCUUGUUUUGUAAGCUCCUCUAGUGCUGCAACCUCACAUUCUUUGCGGUCAAACUUGAAAGUCCCAAUAACAAUCUCAUGCCAAUAAAAUCCAGAUUCUUCCCAUAAAUUCUUGUGCUUCUCAAGUUUCAUAUCAAUCAAUGCCUUAACAUUGCUCUUGAACUCCUCAUCAGUCAUCUCAUAAAUUUCAUUUUCAAACAACUUGAGGAAUGCCUCGACUCUCAAAUCAAUAUACCCCGGAUCCUUUACUGUAGAUUGAACAAUAAAUUUUACUCCAUGAAUACCAUAAUCGUUCCUCCGUGUGAGGUAAGUAAUGUACCCAAGUUGUUCAACUGUUCUCAGCUGAUGGAAGGCUGCUUGCUUUGCAAUAAGAGUAAAAAGCUGAAGUUUCACAUUCAGCAUAAAUUCAUCUUGAUGAACCUGAAUAUAAUGUACUAGAGCAGAGUUCUCAUUACUUGGAUUCAAGCCUUUGAUA
rnacentral:misc_RNA from 1 species